UCCGGCAGCGCGGCUUCGAAGUCCGUCCCCGUCCCUCAGUCUCCACAGCCUGACUGCCGGCCUCGGGCCGAAGUGGGGACUACGCGGGGCCGAAGGAAUCCUCCCGGGUAGAUAAGCCUGGCCUCGGACCCUCCCUGGGACGCGGUGGGCCGGACGCCUGGAGGAGGAGAGGAGGAAAGGGCCGAGCGCUCCUCACAGUCCCUUCGAGAGCCGCGGCCCAAGGGCCCUUCUGCUCAGGAAUGAAGCUGAGGACGGGCAGCAUCUCGGGGAUGCUUCAGCCUCUGCAGAUGACUUGGCUUAGAGGACCUGUGGGAUGUGCAGAGAAGGAGAACUGGGGGAGAGACCUUGAAGUGUUUGGCGAGUGGGUGGAUGAAGCGCCUUCAGUAAAGAUUGUGGGCAUAAUCUCUGGAGAAGGAUCUGGUGUUAGUUAAGUGGGCUGACUUCUCAGUUGCUGGUGUCCUUCUGGUAGAAUGUGACUUCCAUGCUCCAAGAGCCUGGCCUGAGUUGUUCAUCACUCUACCCUGAAUGCUGAACACAGGGACCCAGCUACCUGUGAGAUGAAUGAAGGAAACUUAUGGAUCCAUCCUGUUCGUCAUAGUCUCUCGCAUCAGUAAAGGGUGGUUCUCAGCAAUAUGUAAGCCUAAAUUUAGCUCUUGGCUUAUGUUUUUCUGUCUUAGUCAUUGUGGGCAAAUUACUCAACCUCUCAGACUUUGUUUCCUUAUGUUUAAAAUGGGAUGCUAGGGACUUCCUUGGUAGUCCAGUGGCUAAGACUUCACCAUCCCAGUGCAGGGGGUCUGGGUUAGAUCAACUAAAACAGAUCCUACAUAUCGCAAUGAAAACUGGAGAUCCCAAAUGCCACAACUAAGACCCGGCAUAGCAAAAUAAAUAUCAAUA